rnacentral:lncRNA from 10 species
CUGAGAUAACUUCCCAUCCCCCAUCUCACAUGUUACUUUCCUAUCUCUAAGACCCUCUCACAUCAGCCAGAUUCACCCAAUACUUCUUGGGAGUAGGUGGAGCAGGGGUCACCGUGGUCAUUUUACGGAUGAAGAAACUGAGUCUCAGAGGUUACAGUGCUGGUCUGCUUUGCCUGGCUGGUAAGAGGGGCAGUGGGCCUGGGUUCUGAGCCAAAGUUCUGGACCGUUCGCAGGACCAUCAGUGUGGAUUCUGAAGGAUGGAUGGUAUGGAGUAGGGUAGGGCACAGUCUGGUUUGGGGAACCCCUAAGGGUGCAGAGGGAGGGUGAGGAUCCCUGCCAAAGCUCCAGGCUGGAGGGGACUGCGUCCUCCUCCCUCCUGCAGUCCAUCUCCAGUGGCCGGCUGGGGUGAGUCAGCCUGGAUGAAGUCACCUACUUCCAUGCAGACUGUGCCCCCUGACCUGGGAGGCGCCUGUCAGGGGCACCAGCCGAGACUGAGGACAGGCUGGGCAGCACUCCAGGUCGCUGUGUGGCAGCUGAUUUAGGGGGCUGGAAAUGUCCAGAGCCAUCAGAAGCAGCUGGGCGUCUGGGGCCUUGAGGCCCGUAAGUCAUGCUGCUGCCUGCCGUUCCCUGCAUUGCUGUGAAGCCUCACCGGGGACUGGGCUCAUCAAAAUCAGUUUAUGCCAAAGGAAAUUAAUUUUUGCCUCUCUGAGAUGGGGUGUGGGGAAGGGAGGUCAGCUCCAGAGGCAGGCCUGUAACAGCACUGCAGGGAGGGGUUGGAUACUACAGUGUGCCCACGAUGGCACUGAUCGAAGAGCCUCGGGGCUAGAGGGCCUGCCCAUUCUACAGAGCGGGUGACUGAGGUUUCAAAGGAGCCUCCUAGUCUUUGGGACCAGAACCCAGAUUUUGUUCUUUAUUAAUCUGUCUUUAUUCAUUUCUGUCCUCCUUCACUGCUUCUCUUCCUUCUUUCCCUCUCUAUCUCCAUAAGUAUUUACUGAACACCUGCUAUGUGCCAGGCACUGUCCUGUGUGGUAAGGACACAGAGAUGCACAAGACAGACCAAGUCCUCCUCUCAUGGAGCAUGCAGUCUGGUUGGGUAAGACAGACUGGUCAUAGCUAAAUAAGAAAGUAUCAGACAGGGAGGAGUGCUAGGUGAGCAUCAAAUUAGAGUGAUGUGAUGCGAGCCACUACGCCCGGCCGCAAG